UCCGUUAUUUCUUCAUUUUUCUCCAGUAUCAUCUUUAAUCAGUGGGUCAGUUCCCCAGUAGGAGGAGCAGACACAAAAUAAGAGAAAGAGAAAAGGACACGGAUCUAGCUGCUCUGCUCUCCAUUUAUGCACACACAGCAUACAUCUGCGCUCAUGGGCCCCGAGCGAUGUGGCACCGGGGGUCUGGGGACAAGCCGCUAAGGAUGGCGGCCCUGCCUCAAGGCUCUUGGGCAGCGGGAGAAUACCAGUGCCUAGAGUACAGGGAUUAAGAAACCAAGACCAAGGGCAAAGAGCCCCAGGUCUGCGAGAAAGAGGCAGCGUCGGAACCCGAGGGUACGGACGCCCACCCCAGGCUCCGACCACUCCAAGGCCACGUCCCACCCAGGCUGCAGAAACCUCAGUUCCUGACCGGAGAUGAAAACCCAAACUGACACAGCAAACUUAAAAAGCACAGUGGUGAAAAGAGUUCUCGGCAGAGGAGGAGAGAGCGCCCCGCGCCGUAAUGGCGGUAAAAGAGCCCAGCCCUCGCAGUUUGUUUGCUCUGAUGGAAAUGGCCUUCAAAGCCACACAGGACUCUUUGAAAGAAGGCAGGUGGCAGCAGGUGGCAGUGGCCAUGGGGUGUGGGGCGGAGGCGGGGCGGGAGCAGCUCCGGGGCUGAAGCUCCGAGCACGGCUCGCAGCUCUGGAUGAACCCCGCCUUGGCCUACGCCUCUGUGGCAGGUUCCUCGGCCCCCGAAGCCACAGGGCAAUUCUCAAGCCUGAAACCAGCGGUGGGUGGAAAAUAUCAAAUCUACCUCCACCCUGCCACCAAGUGUAUUAAUGAUCACAUAAGUACACCUAUAAAGUAUCUGACAUUAGGUUAAAAAAAUAAGGUGGGAGAUUCCACUCUGAACAAUUUCUCAGGAAUAAAAAGGCCACGGACUCACUCAUUUAUUCCUCAAACCUUCUGGGGCCCCUGUGUUGUGCCGGACAUAGCACUGGGGACAAAGGUGGGAGACUCUGGCCCUGCCCUCAAGGGGCUCAUAAACUGGUGAGAACUGCCAGCACACAGAGGCCACUAAUCAUCGUGGGACAUAGAGAAGGUGUGACAGACAGGAAAACUGACACUUCCAUCGUGGCUAAUUUAACAAGUUAGAAAAGAGCCAGAAACGUGCUCCAUAUGGGAUUUCAACUCCAGGCUCUUCCUGUCCACUGAGCGCGCUGAGCGCUGCUCUAUUUUGCAGGCCGUGCCCCUCACUUCCAGCCCUCGGGCUUGCUAACAGGCAGCUGUUUUAGACCCAGGAAACUCCGCUUGCCAGAGGUCCCCAGCACUGCGGAUAGAUGCUCAAACAGGGCAGCACAGAAACAGGCAGUCUGCGACCACGUAAGAAAAGACCGUACUCUUGCAGCUCUUAGAAAGGAAAAACCUUUUGUCCAAUUGCUUUAGUUGAAUAACAUUUUACUCUACUUUAAAAAAAAAACUAUAGACAGACCCAUUUAUUUCCAGAAAGAUAUCGGAGGUCGCUCCAUCUACUUCUCUGUGUUGGCCAUAUAUUAUUUUAGUUUACUUCCAGCAAGCACACGUAAGAUUUCAUAAAUACAUUUACCUUUAUAGCCAAAUACAGUCUACACACUUCUCGAAGACAGGCAUUAAUUUUAAACAUUUGUUGAAAGGCCACCUCACCCUGGAUGGAAGCACCACUACCGCUGUUACUAUUCCUCCUCCCUCCUCCUGCCACCACUACUAAAAAGGAGGAGCUGGUGUAGACCGGCCUCCCCGCCAUGCCUGGACCUGUGCUGGGUCCCUCACAAUUGUUAUCUCACUAACUUCCCACAGCAACCCCGGAGGCGGGGACUGCCACCCCACUUUACAGACAAGAGGUCAGAGAGGUUAGGCAGUGAAGCCACACCACUUGCAGAUGGUGGAGUCUGAACGCCAAAAUGUGCCCGCUCUUCCCAAGUGUGGACUUGUAACUGCUACAGUGCCCUGAGCCUUGGGUGCCUGAGAGAUCUUCUGAGAAGGGACACGAGCCAGAGACAAAGGGGACAGACUGACAUAUCCUGAACAUACACCAUAAGCUCGACUUCCUGCUAUGUCAAAUGUCUGUAUCAGGGCAAACUUAUUUAAACAACAGGUUCCCAGGUCCGCCCCCCCCAAAUUAUGGUGGAGGUCUGAGCCAGGAUUCUCAUUCAUAACGUGUACCCCCAAGUAAUUCUGAUUCAGGAUGUCAUAACUUACAUCAUUGGGGUCAGUGACUUACAAAGUUAUUUAAUGGGACCUACACAGGAGGUCACCCAUUUGAAAUCACCACCCAGAACAUACUUGCACACACAGUGGCAUAUAAACACACUGAAACACAAGACAAAAGGUCUCAGAAAACUACCUAUUACCUUGUCAUGGAUAAAUAGUGCUGAUCAUUUCUAUUUCAUUCUAUUCCAUUUCAUUUUUAAGAUAAAUUGGUUGUAAUCCACUAAUUUCACAAACCUAUAAUGGAUCAUGACCUGGGGGCUGAAAAAACACUGACCUGGCUGUUCUAUACUUAAUUUCUAGUUUAAUCCUCACAAUCCUGAGAGGUCGGAGAGAGUUCCAUAUCUCCAUUUUACAGAUGAGAAAACUGAGGCUUAGGGAAGCUAAGCAAUUUGCCCAGGAUCACAAAGGUGGAUAUGGGGUCUUAACUCUUAACAUGCUAGAACCCAAAGCCUGCCUUUUAUUGUACAGAAACCAUAUUUUCUCAAGUCUCCCUUUCACAAAGUUUGCACAGUGCUGUAAAUAAAAUGGGUUUGCUCCGGUCAUUGACUAACUCCUUUGACCAGGUCCCCACGUUUCCUUGAUGCCAACACAUCCUUGACUCCAAGUCACGCCAU